rnacentral:rRNA from 1 species
CCUACGGGGGGCAGCAGUGGGGAAUAUUGGGCAAUGGGCGAAAGCCUGACCCAGCAAUGCCGCGUGAAUGAAGAAGGUCUUAGGAUGGUAAAAUUCUGUCCGAGGGGAAGAAAAAAAUGACGGUACAAUAGGAGGAAGCCACGGCUAACUACGGGCCAGAAGCCGCGGUAAUACGUAGGGGGCGAGCGUUGUCCGGAAUUACUGGGCGUAAAGAGAGCGUAGGCGGCACUACAAGUCUCAUGUGAAAUACCCGGGCUUAACGGGGGGGUUGCAUGGGAAACGGUAGAGCUUGAGUACAGGAGAGGCAAGCGGAAUUCCUCGUGUAGCGGUGCAAUGCAUAGAUAUUAGGAGGAACACCAGUGGCGACGGCGGCUUGCUGGACUGCAACUGCCGCUGAGGCUCG